AGGACGAACGCUGGCGGCGUGCUUAACACAUGCAAGUCGAGCGGAAAGGCCCUUCGGGGUACUCGAGCGGCGAACGGGUGAGUAACACGUGAGUAAUCUGCCCCUAGCUCUGGGAUAGCUCCGGGAAACCGGGAUUAAUACCAGAUACGACCACUUUAGACAUCUUCUGUGGUGGAAAGAACUUCGGCUAGGGAUGAACUCGCGGCCUAUCAGCUUGUUGGUGAGGUAACGGCUCACCAAGGCGACGACGGGUAGCCGGCCUGAGAGGGCGACCGGCCACACUGGGACUGAGACACGGCCCAGACUCCUACGGGAGGCAGCAGUGGGGAAUAUUGCGCAAUGGGCGAAAGCCUGACGCAGCGACGCCGCGUGGGGAUGAAGGCCUUCGGGUUGUAACCCUUUCAGCAGGACGAAGCGAAGUGACGGUACCUGCAGAAGAAGCGCCGGCUAACUACGUGCCAGCAGCCGC
rnacentral:rRNA from 1 species